UACGUAGGGUGCAAGCGUUGUCCGGAAUUAUUGGGCGUAAAGGGCUCGUAGGCGGUCUGUCGCGUCGGCUGUGAAAACCCGGGGCUCAACCCCGGGCCUGCAGUCGAUACGGGCAGACUAGAGGGCGGUAGGGGAGACUGGAAUUCCUGGUGUAGCGGUGAAAUGCGCAGAUAUCAGGAGGAACACCGGUGGCGAAGGCGGGUCUCUGGGCCGUAACUGACGCUGAGGAGCGAAAGCGUGGGGAGCGAACAGG
rnacentral:rRNA from 1 species